UCGAGGGGCAGCGGGGGAGUGGCAACACUUCCGCCGGCGACCGGCGCACGGGUGAGUAACACGUAUGAAACCUGCCCGCAGCAGGGGGAUAAGCGGAAGAAAUUCCGUCUAAUACCGCGUAACAACCGACGGGGGCAUCCCUGUUGGUUCAAAGGAGCGAUCCGGCUGCGGAUGGUCAUGCGGCGCAUUAGCUAGUUGGCGGGGCAACGGCCCACCAAGGCGACGAUGCGUAGGGGUUCUGAGAGGAAGGUCCCCCACACUGGUACUGAGACACGGACCAGACUCCUACGGGAGGCAGCAGUGAGGAAUAUUGGUCAAUGGCCGAGAGGCUGAACCAGCCAAGUCGCGUGAGGGAUGACGGCCCUACGGGUUGUAAACCUCUUUUGCCGGGGAGCAAAGAGCGGGACGCGUCCCGCCUCGAGAGUACCCGGAGAAAAAGCAUCGGCUAACUCCGUGCCAGCAGCCGCGGUAAUACGGAGGAUGCGAGCGUUAUCCGGAUUUAUUGGGUUUAAAGGGUGCGCAGGCGGAAGCGCAAGUCAGCGGUAAAAUAGAGAGGCUCAACCUCUUCCCGCCGUUGAAACUGCGUUUUCUUGAGUGGGCGAGAAGUACGCGGAAUGCGUGGUGUAGCGGUGAAAUGCA
rnacentral:rRNA from 1 species